ensembl:lncRNA
GCCACAGUCCGAGUCCGCCAGCUUCUGAGGCCCUGAAACCUAAUACCAUUCUGACUUGCCCAUCCUCCAGAAGUCGCUAAGAGAGUAAGCCUUGCGUGCUGCAGUCCAUGGAGUUACAAAGAGUUGGACAAAACUGAGCAACUGAACAACAACAAAGAGAAAUGGCUAUCUUCCUCUGCUGGUGCUGCUGCUAAGUUGUUUCAGUCAUGUCUGACUCUGUGCAACCCCAUAGACGGCCUCCUACCAGGCUCCUCUGUCCCUGGGAUUCUCCAGGCAAGAACGCUGGAGUGGUUUGCCAUUUCCUUCUCCAAUGCAGGAAAGUGAAAAGUGAAAAUGAAGUCGCUCAGUCAUGUCCGACUCUUAGCGACCUCACGGACUGCAGCCUACCAGGCUCCUCCGUCCAUGGGAUUUUCCAGGCAAGAGUACUGGAGUGGGGUGCCAUUGCCUUCUCCGAGUCUUCCCCUCCUUCUAUCUAAACCAUGUGGAUAAGUUUUCCAAAAUAUUUGCCAUGAGAACCUGGUGGUCCUCCUGAAAGUAAAAUUCACCAGCAUGUGAAUAUGCCUCCAAGUCUGGGGCUCUAAAUUUUACCUAUCAAGCAAAUUUACACUGAUCCUCCAGAAACUCAUCAAUUACUGUUUUACUGUGUCUAUGGGUAGCCUCUUCUCCUGGUAAAUUGUGAUUCUGUGUAUUUACUUGCGUUUCUGGUGUUUGCAAUAAUGGUUGGCCCUGUGACCUCAAUUCUUUAGUUCAUGUGAGAAGAGUUGCUGAUUUUACAUUCAGUGUUUUUUUUGUUGUUGUUUUUUUUCUUCUUAUUUUUGAGCGAGAAUGACAACUUUCAAGCACCUUAUAAGUUAAAAUGGAAAUUGACCAACUACUUUAGUUUAGUCUUUAAAUUAUCUCAAUUAUUAGUGUUUGCCUUAUUAGAUAUGUAUUUGUAUAUUUUUUGUACCAUCAAACAGAAGAGAAAAAAGAUAACCUAAUUCCUUCUUUAUCCUAAACACUCUGUUUCCUUACUAUGAAAAUCUAAAAUCAUGCACAUUUUAAUGUUGAGGCAGCAGCAUGAAAAGGGGGUAAUGGGCAACUCUGUAUCACUUCUUAAAAAUAUGAACUAGCAGAUGGCAUUUCCUCUUCUGUGCAUUUCAUCAUUUAGC